rnacentral:lncRNA from 1 species
ACGGUGGGGCGCAAGGUUGGUGUAGGCAUGAUCUGAGAGGUAGGCGACGGCAAGGUGGCGGAGGAGGGUGAGGGUGUGGCCGGGUGUGGGCGGGGGAUUUGAACUUGCCGAGAAGGGAGGUAGUGCCACCAAGGACCUUGGCGAGGAGGGAGGAGACGGUUGUGAGGAGAGGUAUAAGGGUAUUUUGGGUAUAAAAAAUGUAUAAUAAUAUAAGAUGGAUGGAACCCUAAUGGAUUCCUGAUAGGGAGGAUCAAAGUGAACAUUUUUUAAUUUUUGAAAGGAUAAAAUGUAGGUUUUUAAAAGUCGGGAAGGGAAAGUGAAUGGACAAAUUUUGAUGGAGAGAUUUUCUGUAAUUUAG